CCCAGGUUCAAGUGAUUCUACUGUCUCAGGCUCCCAAGUAAUAAGGAUUACAGGUGCCUGCCACCACGCCUGGCUAAUUUUUGUAUUUUUAGUAGAGAUGGAGUUUCACCAUGUUGGCCAGGCUGGUCUCCAACUCCUAACCUCAAGUGAUUUGCCCACCUUGGCCUCCCAAAGUGCUGGGAUUACAGGCGUGAGCCACUGCACCUGGCCAACUGAUCUUGGAUUAAGUGGAGUCACCCUCUUCUUAUGUAGAGAGGAGAGAAAGGGAACAUUCAGAUGGCAGGUGGAGUGUGCAAUAGUUCAUAUAUCGCGGCUGCAUCUCUCUGUAAAUUACAACUCAAGUCAUUUUCUGAAGUUGAAGAAGUAGAGACAAUAGUGUUCGCUGAAAAUUGAGAGGUUUUUAAGUCCUGCAGAGGGCAAGUUACAUAAGUCAGCUGAUCAUAAGAGCACAAACUUAUAGCAGUAUCAGUGAAUUGCUGGCAUCUUGGAGCAACCCAGAUGCAGGCGUGGAGAAGUACACUGUUCUGUUCAUCUAGGGUUCAGCAUUUUCCACAACAAAAUGUACCUCAAAGACAAAUAGGCAAAGGAGUUUAGGGUACUGUCAUGUGAGUCAUCAGAAUGACAAGCAGGAACGUGAGCUGCGUGGAGCUGCUGGACAGGGAGACUGGAAAGGCUUAUAUGGUCAGAGACAGGAGGUGGGGACGCAGCCUCAGGAACGGUGUUGUUCUCAUUCUUGUAACAGCCUUUUCAGACAGCCUUUCCUUUCCCAACAGACGGUCGUGUUUUCUGUGCACAGCACAACCACACAGAGGCUGAGUCCUUCAGGCUCCCGUCAAGGCCCCACUGAGAGGGCAGCCCCGGGAGCUAGCCGGAGUCACUGCACCUGGCCUCCCAGGAUGAAAUUGAGACAAUACAAGUUCAGAAGGCUUCUGUUGUGCAAUCCAGAAUUCAGAAUCUGUCCUGAACCAUACUCAUGGAAACAACAAAGAGUUCUUCAAAUGCAACAGUCUGGCCCGUCCUAAAGACACAGGAGAAUGUGAGGAAACCACAGUUAUUGCGCAGUCCUGCUCCUGUGCUCAGUGGAUUGGGAAAAAGAAGAAGAAGAGUAAAGUCUGUGUUGACUUGUUUCUGGUCAUUUUUAUUUACCACCCAAUUCCUACGUGAAUUGGGUUAUGCCAUUUGUAAUGCAAAUCAAAUAUUACGUUCGUUCAUGAUUUAUAUGAUACUAAAUAAAAUGAAAAUUAGGCAUGUAGCAUUCCCAAAUUCACCCAUUCAAUAAAUAUUUAUUAAGCACUACUUUUAUCAGGCAUGUCUCUGAUCAUCAAGGGUGUCAUCCUGUUUUGUGUGUUUGUUUUUUCAGAAACUGGGUCUUGCUCUGUUGCUCAGGCCGGUCUCAAACUCCUGGGCUCAAGUGAUCCUCCUGUUUCUGCCUCCUGAGUAGUUGGGACUACAGGUGCACAUCAUCAUGCCCAGCUCAUAAGGAUACCAUCUUGAAGAAGGCUGUGAGGUUCCUGCUUUCAUGGAACUUACACUGUAGUGAUUUUGUUGGGAUGAGUUUUAGCCUUUAGAAUUCAUGCACAGCAAAGGGAUGUUAUCCUUGAAGAAGAGUUCUAGAAUUCGCUCCAUUGCCAAUUUUCUUCUAAUUAAUACAAAUCUCUCAUGAACCGAAUUUAUCAUUUCUUCAAUUCCCUCAUGUACCAGGGUGGUAGGUUUAAUAAAAAUAAUUACUGUUAAUAUAGUUUAAGGUUUUCAGAUAAGGUCUUCAGAUAAGGCUUUCAGGUUUUUCUAUCUGACUUUGAGAUUCCCUAUCUGCUAAUUUGCAUGAGAGUUUUAAAAUAAUAAACUCUGAAAAUUCAUCUUGCAAAUAGGAACUAUGGGUAAUAGGUUUAUGAAUACAACAACAAAUAUUUUUAAUUGAAGUAUUAAUUAAAAAGGGCACAACAAUGGCAAAUAUUAGAAAUACAUGUAGUUUUCCAUUUAACUUA
rnacentral:lncRNA from 1 species